GACGAACGCUGGCGGCGUGCUUAACACAUGCAAGUCGAACGAUGAAGCUAGAGCUUGCUCUGGUGGAUUAGUGGCGAACGGGUGAGUAACACGUGAGUAACCUGCCCCGAACUCUGGGAUAACUGCUGGAAACGGUAGCUAAUACCGGAUAUGACCAAUGAAGGCAUCUUCUGUUGGUGGAAAGAAUUUCGGUUCGGGAUGGACUCGCGGCCUAUCAGCUUGUUGGUGAGGUAACGGCUCACCAAGGCGACGACGGGUAGCCGGCCUGAGAGGUGGAUAGGAGACACUGUGACUGAGAAACGGCCCAGACUCCUUCGGGAGGAAGCAGUGGGGAAUAUUGCACAUGGGCGCAAGCCUGAUGCAGCACCGCCGCGUGAGGGACGACGGCCUUCGGGUUGUAAACCUCUUUUAGUAGGGAAGAAGCGAAAGUGACGGUACCUGCAGAAAAAGCACCGGCUAACUACGUGCCAGCAGCCGCCGUAA
rnacentral:rRNA from 1 species